rnacentral:rRNA from 1 species
GAUGAACGCUGGCGGCGUGCCUAAUACAUGCAAGUCGAGCGAACAGACGAGGAGCUUGCUCCUCUGACGUUAGCGGCGGACGGGUGAGUAACACGUGGAUAACCUACCUAUAAGACUGGGAUAACUUCGGGAAACCGGAGCUAAUACCGGAUAAUAUAUUGAACCGCAUGGUUCAAUAGUGAAAGACGGUUUUGCUGUCACUUAUAGAUGGAUCCGCGCCGCAUUAGCUAGUUGGUAAGGUAACGGCUUACCAAGGCAACGAUGCGUAGCCGACCGGAGAGGGUGGUCGCCGACAUUGGAGCUGAAACGCCGUCCAGGCUCCUGCGGGAGGCAGCAGUAGCGUAUCUUCCGCAGUGGGCGGAAGCCUGACACAGCAGCGCGGCGUGUGUGGUAGCGGUCUUCGGUGCGUGAUACUCUCUUAUUAGUUAUGAACAAAUGUGUAAGUAACUGUACAGGGCGUGACGGUACCGAGUCAGAAAGCCACGGCUAACUACGUG